CAACACCAUAAAAACCAGGAAAUUCUGAUUCUCUCUCAAACCAUUGACCUGCAUGGUGGCUCUGAACGAAGGAACAAACAAUUUAGCUUGAGGAACGACGCUGCUUUGGUGUUUGGUUUGAAUUGUCCCCAAAGAUGAAAAGGUAUGUAACCAAAAUAUGAUUGGAAAUUGCGUGCCAAGAGUUAAAAAGAGCAGUGAGCAGACACGCGUGCUCUAGAACUAGCUAACGAGCUAAAUGUUAGCAUGCCACCUAGCCUCAGACAUGCUAGGGCAGCCUGGAACGGUGGCCAUCUUUGUGGUAAAUCCUCAUAUGGGACGCUUCAUUCAAGAGAUUAAUUGACUGCCAUUUCAGUAAAUCAGGACAAAAGGGAUUUCCAGCGGAGCAAUAUUUGUGUCAUAGUGGUCAUUCUUAAUUAUUUUGUCAGGGAAAUAGCUUGAGCACAUGGUCAAAAAUUAGUAACUAUCAAUACAGUCUGGGUCAACUCAGACUGACACACACCAAAGACUUUCGAGGAUAUAAGGAUGAGCUUGGAAACCGUCAUCUCCAUCACUUUUCAAAUCUUCUGAAGAGAGAGAGAGAGAGAGAGAGAGAGAGAGAGCGAGCGAAAGACCAAGAACCCUCUAUGGAAAAUGCUGGUAUGGAAACCUAUUGCGAGUACAUUCAAUUUUUUUAGGAUGUUUGAUGUUUACAGAGGUCUGAAAACAAACAUAUUUUUCCACAGAGCAUAACAUGAUUACCUUUGGUACAGAGUUUGACCUCAUAGACAACGACUGUGUAUAUUGUUAUACUAUGUAUUUAAUAUAUUUUAACAAGGACUUAACCGUAAUCAUUCACCAGUCUCUCCUUUUUAGAUUCAGCGUCUGAGUUGUGGGAAAUUGAUGAAUUUGCCCGCCAGCAGCUAGAUCUGGAACAAGCACAGCCGCAGCAGACAUACUCGGUUACAUCCGAGUAUGUUACAUCAAUCUUUUAUCCCCCGACCCGGACGAGAUUCCUGAGGUGUACGGGUUGAACCAGCAGCAGCAGCAGCAGCAGGAGCAGCAGCAGCAGCAGCAGCAGCAGCAGCAGCAGGAGCAGCAGGAGCAGCAGGACAGGCCUGUCGUUACAGAGGUGGAUCAGCAGAGGGACCAAACCACCGUGCCAGUGGUUAUCGUGUUUCCCCAACCGACCGACCAGGCAGCCAUAGGCCUUCUGUCACCCCCCCAAUCACCAACACCCGUCUCUGGAGAGACAGCAAGUGGCCAAGAAGUAGAGGAUUUUCUCACCAUUCAGAGGUCGAGGGCUCAUCUGACUUCAGAGCUCCGAGGGUUCGACGCAGAAUUGAUCAGAAAGGAAGCUCGCAGCAGAGGGGAAACUGCUGUCCUAAAUGCGCUUCUAGCGCAGAGAGGUGCGACUUCUGAAUCAGCAGAGACGCGAAGAGGCACUGAUUCAGCAUCAGAGGUUGUAUGAAGUAACCGCCUCUUUACUGCGUUUCAUGCAGCGUGCGAGACUUGAGUAGAUGCUGUACAGGGUUCUGUAAAAGAAGUGUUGUGAUUGUAACCUUUUUUUCUGGUUUGAUUUUUUUUGUUAUUCUUUUAUGCUGUGUACAUUUGUUUUUCCGCAUCUGCUAAUACAAUGGACCUAAACAUACCAGACAUGCGUGACCCAUUUUUUUGCCAUCAACCAUACUAGUACACAGAUCGAAGCAAAUCAACAUGAGCAAUCAGAUAAAUCCCAGUAAUGAACCCACAAAUGCUAAUAACAUCGUCGAUGUACAGCCUCUUCUUUGAAGAUUUAAACGUUUUAAAUAAUCCACAGAAUCAACAAGGUGCAGGAAACCCCGAUCCUCAGCCCCGCAGCGCAGCCCAGCUGUUCAAAUCAUAAUCCAGUUGAUUGAGCUCACCAUGAACCAUCAACAACUAGACGCGAGAGAUUUAACAACGUCGAAAUUAUUCAGCCUCUCGACAUUGUUAGGCGUGAAGACAAGCUUAAUUUUGCAGAAUAUUCUAGGGUGAUGGGUAUGUUGGAGACCGCUGCCGAAAGAGCCUUUCAACAGGCGGGUCGACAAGACGUGGUGCAAUUUGAGCUGAGGUGAUAAUCUGAAUCAUGACGCCUCUGUCAUCUUGAGGGGAGGAGGGUGACCGCAUUGUGCAAUCAAACAUGACCGUCAACGGUAAUCUGCAUGUAGUAGCGCAAAUCAUAAGAAACCCUCAUGGUGCCGGUUAAAGACUUAGCAGAAACAUUAGACAGCAAAAUCUUUAAAAAGACGUUUUUCUAUAUGUUGUCGAUAAUGAGCAGUCUGUUUUGCUAUGAAUUUAGCUCAUCUACUCAACCCUAACAUCACAGAUAAUGAAGCGCUAACGAUUGGUAAAAGCAUGCAAAACAGCGCGGGAAUGAGCGAUGACACGGCUGUAACAGGGAUAUACCGAAAUUUGAAGCCUAACUCAACUGUAAAAUUGUUGUACUAUUCAGGACCGAUGCUAAACGCACUUUCUAAAUUUGUAACCGACAGCCCAAGUAAAGACAAUUUCCUGUUUCUGCAUGAAAACCACUAUUAUGGCAUCAUCAGCGCAAAAGCCUUUCUCGGAUGUAAAAACGUGUAAUUAUUGUUAUGAGGGGUAUAACAGUCCGGCAACGCACAGAUGUCCGGGUCAUUGUAGCGUGUGUUUACACCCGAGUUGCACCGAUCAUCCCACACGUGCCUUAGUCCGUCCUGACUGUACUAGAACGUGUCGCUCGCCUUUGUGUUUUAACAACCAUAAAGAGCCAAAAGACAGACCCCCGGUUCAGAAACGCGUCAGUCAAUCUUGCAAAAAUGUUUAAAUUGCAACUGCGUUACUACGUCCCCCUGACUGGUCCAAUUAAACCGCACGAGUGUUCGAAGCUAAAUGUAAAAUUUGCAGCUGCACUGCUGAAAGCGAGGCCCACCGUUGAAACCAGAAAUAGAGUACAGCGAGAAAUUGAUUACUACGAUUUCGAGGCGUAUCUAGACGCGAAGGGUGUGCACGUCCCUUUUCUGAUAUGCACAAAAACGCUGGACAGUAAAACUUGGAACGCUUAUGGGGAAGCUUGUGCCGUACGCUUCAUCCUGCAUUUCAGGAGGCCCCUGUUCAAAAACUCUGUUUUCAUCGCUCACAACUCCAGAGGCUUCGAGAGUUACCUACUCAUCAAAGCUAUGCUAACGUUAAACAUUCUUCCUGGUUUCACCAUGCAAGGUAGUAAAGUCAUUUGUUUCACAGACGAUGAGCACAAGCACAAGUAUGUGGAUUCGCUCCGCUUCCUCACCAUGCGUCUAGCUGACAUGCCAAAAGCACUGGGGUUUGAAGAUGCCGUCAAGGGCUUCCCCC